rnacentral:snRNA from 1 species
UCAAAUGAGAACUUUGAAGGCCG